rnacentral:rRNA from 1 species
GAUAAACCGGAGGAAGGUGGGGAUGACGUCAAGUCAUCAUGGCCCUUACGACCAGGGCUACACACGUGCUACAAUGGCGCAUACAAAGAGAAGCGAACUCGCGAGAGCAAGCGGACCUCAUAAAGUGCGUCGUAG